CCCUCUUUUACAGAAAUGUGGAAGAGAGGUAUAAUCCAUUAUCUGCAAGAAAUAGAGAAUAAUUAAAGCAUCAUCACUUUGCAUAUGGCCUUACCUUCAACAGCUCAUCUCUCCCGCAGCCUGACAGGUGUUGAAGGAAAAAUUAUUUCAACACUCAAGGUACAAAAUCAACCAAGAUCAGUCUCUUCAAUGGUUUACCUUCCAACAGGAUGAAAAGACGUAAGGAACUGCAGAAACAUGAGACAUUACCGGUUGCAUGAUCAUUAGAGAUUUGGGAAAUCCUUGAUUUGCUAGUCAUAAAUUGCAUAUUUAAGGUAGUGAUGGGCCUUCCAUACUUUUUUGAUGCAGAAGGCUACAGCAAAAUGUACGUGUUAAUGAUACUAGGAGAGAAGCUUCUUUUGAAUCCUAGAAUUCAGAAACUCACCAGAAUAACACGAUCUCGAUACUCAUUGAUUUGUAUGUGCGACUGCACAUAAUCAUGCACCUGUGAAGAGAUCAAAACACCGAACUUGCAGGUCGCAUACAGAAGAUGGAGGAUAGAAGAAGAAGAAGAAAGCUGGCGAACCUGAAAGGAUUUCUUCGAUGAGUGAUCAACUGCAGGGCUUGAAACUCAAGGUUGAAAACCAGCUCAGGUACGAGAAUGACGAUGCUAGAAUACAAGAAGAGCCCGGACAAGAAAGUGAACCUAAGAUCUCGCAAGUCACAACCUUUAGAGGCCAGGCUGCUGUUUAAAUACCAAAGGGGUCUCACACGGACUCGCCCUUCUUUAUGGCCCUGUCCUUCUCAAUGCCUGUUAAGCUCACGCAAAAGUCAUCAGUGUCUUGUGGGAAUCUCACUAAGAACCUUAAAAAAUGAAGCAAAGAAGAGGAAAAAGGAGCUGCUUACAUUCUGAAUGGGUUCUUCGUGUCGACGUUGCUGGCUCUGGUUUGUUUCCCUUUCCAGUUUUCUCUUCCGUAAUUCUUUUCCAGUAUUCUCCACUAAAAUAUAUAUCACAAUCAUACAAUCUCGGCCGUCCAAUGGUCCUUGCAUGUGCCCUUCACCAUUUGAUUUCGGGUUCUUUUCUUCUUCCAUUUGUUCUUUUUAUUCCCAAACACUGUGGCCAGUUAAUUGUGGAAAGCAAAACCGUGGGAACCUUCUUGAAUAGGAAAGGUGCAGGGAAAAUGCCCAUUCCCUUGCUUGUUGGAGCCUAAAGUCAGGAAAUUUGAUAGCUUUAGCGCACAAAUAUGUUGGAGAAAACUUCGUAGAGAUGUUUGAUGGAGUGCCAAAGGUUUGUGAGUCUUGGAUUCUUGAGUUAUUUAGGGACUUUGAAUCAUGUACCAUUUGAGUUUGAGAUUAAGGUAAUAGGUUAGAGAAACUCGGGACUAUCUAUAUAAUUCUCUCUCACACACACACGUAUAUAUAGACCAAAUUAUUAAAUUAAAAAGAUAACUCGGUCUUAUUUGUUUAUUGAAAAUCGAGGAAUGAGAAUAGAAUAUGGGACC